AAUGAACGUUGGCGGCGUGGAUUAGGCAUGCAAGUCGAGCGAGAACUCUUGGAAUGGAUACUUCGGUUGACGUUCCGGGAGGGAAAGCGGCGAAAGGGUGAGUAACGCGUAGUUAUCUGCCCUGGGGUCCGGGAUAGCCUCGGGAAACUGAGGGUAAUACCGGAUGAUCUCUGUGAUUUAAUCGUUAUGGAGCAAAGGGACUUCCGCCCUAGGAGGAGACUGCGUCCUACUAGCUUGUUGGUGGGGUAACAGCCUACCAAGGCCAUGAUGGGUAGCGGGCGUGAGAGCGUGGCCCGUCACACUGGGACUGAGACACUGCCCAGACACCUACGGGUGGCUGCAGUCGAGAAUCUUCGGCAAUGGACGAAAGUCUGACCGAGCGACGCCGCGUGCGGGAUGAAGGCCUUCGGGUUGUAAACCGCUGUCAGUUGGGAGGAAAUCUAGGGGGUCCACUCCCUAGUUGACCUAUCUUCAGAGGAAGUCCGGGCUAAGUUCGUGCCAGCCGCCGCCGUAACAC
rnacentral:rRNA from 1 species